rnacentral:lncRNA from 10 species
GCGUGGAGUGCGGCGUCCUGGAGCUGCGGAUGAGGAUAAAAAAUGUCAGUACUCACUUCUCCAAGAGGAAAGGUAGAAGUUGUUCAUUGCCGAAGAACAGAAUCACAGGAUGUUUAUUGUAUCAAAAGCCUUAUUAGAAAAUUUACCUGCAAGCUGUUUGGGAAGCUAAAUAUCAUCUAUCUUCUAUUUUCUCGUUCUUGUCUGCACUGACAGUGUAUUCCUUCUGUGAUAAAAACAUAACUGGAAAGCCCAUGUCACUUUCUGUCCUCCUGUCAUCUCCUCUCCGCCUCUUCCUCCAGUUACAUGCUUGCUUCUUCCUGUUCUCCUCAAGAAGGAACAUGGAGAAAAGGCCAACCUUGCUGUUACCCUCUGCAAUGACAAGGAGGAGAUCAUGGCCCAGGCCACCUUCCUGGACUACCCCAACUGGAAUGUUGCCAAGCAGGAUGACUGGGUGUCAGUGUUCCGGGAGCUCGACAGUGACAUCCCAUGCACACCCCUGAAUACGUUGUUCAUGCACCUCUUUGUGGCCGUGGAUGAGUAUUCUGUUGGCUGUUGCAAAGAGAUUCUUCG